rnacentral:lncRNA from 1 species
UUCAGAAGUCUUUAUUAUGAUAAGGUUACAGAGACUUGUGCGUGCAUUGAAACAAAGAUCCAUUUCAUCAGUGCUGAACUGCAGAAAGCAAGCGCAUGGCCUGGGAGGCAGGGACCGUUGUCCUCGAUGUGUCCCCACCAGCCCCUCCUGCACAGGCUGUUGAGUCCCAUGACGCAGCCAGCAGCCCCACAGAGCCUGCAUGUCCCCCCCUGGCACAGAGCAUGGGAAGAACUGGGAUGGAGAAGGAGGGAGCAUGCAUCCAGCUGAGAGCUGUUCUUGGAGAAGCUGGGGAGCCCUGGCCAGCACCAACAUUGCAAAUUAAUCUCUGACCACAGAGGUGAUGACCUUGUUUCUGAGAGCUUUCUUGCAAGCGGAGGCUCCACUAUGCUUUGCUGCAGGGCCAGAGAAAUCAACUGCAGCCUGUGCAGAGGAGAGCUCACUGUGCCGAGGAGAGUGAAGGGUACUCAGAGCCUGCAGUGGGGACUGGUUGUUUUCUGCAAGAGCUGAUCAUGCUGUAGGCACCCAUCCUCUUCGGAGAAGUACUGAUAGUUUUGCUCACACCUGACACUUGGGUGACCAUGAGGGAGCUUGUGGAAGUCAUCAGUCCCAGAGAGACCAGACUGCUCCUGCACCCCGCAAAAAUCUAUCGAAUCCUCCUGCAAAGAACCUUUCCAAAAAUAGAACCUUCCCAAACACUCAGUGUUUGAACCCAAACCACUGACACUCAUCCCACUCUGCUGCAGCACAUCUCAGGGCUUCCUGUGGCAAAACAGGAGACACCAACAUCUGGAAUAUCAGCAGCCCAGCAAAGCUGAUAGUGAAUAAAUACUUGCAAGAUAAGAAUGUGUGGUGUUAAAAGAUGCUUUAACCCAGAAGAGCAAAACUGUACAGGAGCCAGUGGCUGGAAACUAAAGCCAGAAGCUACCAAAUUAGAAAUAAGGCACAGAUAAUUAUCAGUGAGGCAGAUCAACUGCAUUAACAAGUGAUACCAUAUUAUUACUGGCAUAUUUGGAAAUUUCCCCCACUAUCACUAAUGAUCUUCACGUAUGCAUUGGUUAGCUCAACGAUACGCAUUUGAACUGAAUACAGCCGGGUCAGGUGCAGCACAGAAGCAAAGAAAUUAAUGUUCAUUAAACUUGAACUCUUUGACCAAGAAUUUUGAAUAGCCUCCAUGGACAAAGUCCCGCAAUAGCAGGAGAAGUGGGGAGAAAAAAAUCAUGUGCUUUUCUCUGAAGGUUCAAGUACAGCCAUUGAUGUGCAAGGAUAUAUCGAUACUUGGGUAUUCAGGGUAUAUCAUCCCUAAUAGGAUGCCUUCAGUCAACCAAUUCCUGGAGCCUCAGCCUGCUCAAGUGAUUUUUAAAUAGCAUGUCUGGUGCCACCUUAGAAAUUCUAGUUUUGGAGAGAUUGUCUCAUAAAUGUGGUACAAAACCUCAUAAGGAUUAAAAAUAAUGUAACAUAUUUUUGAUUUAUCUUAGUUUGGGGCCUUUAGGUUGCACUCAAGUCACAUUUACAGCUUUAAAAAAACCAAACCCAAACCAGAAGGUAAGAGAAGAAAGGCAGGAGAGAGUAAGCAAAGAUACAAACUGAUCACCUGACUUCAGACUCGAGAGCUAGCAAUAUUAAUACUGUGGAACUUGCCAUAAAGAUAGGGAACAUUGCUAAAACUCUCCUUCCAGGUUCUGUAUUGACCUUUUCCUUUGGCAUCAACCCUCAGCAGGGACCAGGAGAGCAGGCUGGCACAGGAGUUCUCUCCACACCAACUUCCACAUAAUGUUUCUGCAUCAGUUUCUGACAUGUCCCAGUGUAUCUGCUAAGUCCAGCAUCAUGGACACAAUUAAGCAGCUGGCAGAUCCCCGAGGAGGUCUCAGGAGAGGAGCUGCCAUUCUUCAGGUUUCCACACUGUUCAUGGUGAGGAAGGAUGCACCAGCUCAUGCGGGGAGCUUCUCCAGGUCACCUG